rnacentral:lncRNA from 1 species
UCCUCACCUGCUUCCCUCUGAGCUCUUAUCCUCCAGCUGAGGCGACCCUUACCCAUGCCGGUGCAAGGGAAAGAUUAGAGCAACAGUCGACCCUGGGCUGAAACAACAAGCAGACGCUCCGCUCAGCCCUGGCUGUGAGGCCCACGCGUCGUCCUCUCUGUGUGAGUCUUAUCUGCCCACAGGAAGCCAGAUGUUCAUGCUACUUCCAGGCCACACACUCCCGGAUGGACUCUACAUGCGUGCAGAUGGUCAUUCAUCCCCACGUCCUUGCCGAGUGUGGAAGGCGGAGGGUUUGCAGGGUUGUCGCAGGAAUCCAGUCCCUCGCUGGCCAGAUGAUGACUGGACUGCUGUGCAAAAAGAAAACGUACGAUGAGAUCUUUGAGGGUCCUGAGGAAGUGAGGUCCAAACAAAAGGUGGCAUUAGCCAAGGGUUCACUGCUCAGAAAUAUGAACCACCUGUAACGAGGCCCCGGGGGACUCACAAAAGUCUGGCAGAUCACCCCCUAAUGGCUCGGCCUCCUGCUGGACCUGCAGCCCUCUCCCCCUCAACAUUUCCUGACUGCCUCCACUAAUUAUCUGGAAUUUGUUUGUAAUAAAUGCCUUAUGUUGCCCUACCGAGGUGCCUUUUUCAUUAGCAGUUCUUUUCCUGUGAUGUGGG